UACGAAGGGGGCUAGCGUUGCUCGGAAUCACUGGGCGUCCAGCGCACGUAGGCGGACUCUUAAGUCGGUGGUGAAAUCCUGGAGCUCAACUCCAGAACUGCCUUCGAUACUGAGAGUCUCGAGUCCGGGAGAGGUGAGUGGAACUGCGAGUGUAGAGGUGAAAUUCGUAGAUAUUCGCAAGAACACCAGUGGCGAAGGCGGCUCACUGGCCCGGUACUGACGCUGAGGUGCGAAAGCGUGGGGAGCAAACAGG
rnacentral:rRNA from 1 species